GAACCUGCGGAAGGAUCAUUACCGAGUGCGGGCUGCCUCCGGGCGCCCAACCUCCCACCCGUGACUACCUAACACUGUUGCUUCGGCGGGGAGCCCCCCAGGGGGCGAGCCGCCGGGGACCACUGAACUUCAUGCCUGAGAGUAAUGCAGUCUGAGUCUGAAUACAAAUCAGUCAAAACUUUCAACAAUGGAUCUCUUGGUUCCGGCAUCGAUGAAGAACGCAGCGAACUGCGAUAAGUAAUGUGAAUUGCAGAAUUCAGUGAAUCAUCGAGUCUUUGAACGCACAUUGCGCCCCCUGGCAUUCCGGGGGGCAUGCCUGUCCGAGCGUCAUUGCUGCCCUUCAAGCCCGGCUUGUGUGUUGGGUCGUCGUCCCCCCCGGGGGACGGACCCGAAAGGCAGCGGCGGCACCGUGUCCGGUCCUCGAGCGUAUGGGGCUUUGUCACCCGCUCGAUUAGGGCCGGCCGGGCGCCAGCCGGCGUCUCCAACCUUAUUUUUCUCAGGUUGACCUCGGAUCAGGUAGGGAUACCCGCUGAACUUAAGCAUAUCAAUAAGCGGAGGAAAAGAAACCAACCGGG
rnacentral:rRNA from 1 species